ACGUUAGCGGCGGACGGGUGAGUAACACGUGGGUAACCUACCUAUAAGACUGGGAUAACUUCGGGAAACCGGAGCUAAUACCGGAUAAUAUUUCGAACCGCAUGGUUCGAUAGUGAAAGAUGGUUUUGCUAUCACUUAUAGAUGGACCCGCGCCGUAUUAGCUAGUUGGUAAGGUAACGGCUUACCAAGGCGACGAUACGUAGCCGACCUGAGAGGGUGAUCGGCCACACUUGAACUGAGACACGGCCCAGACUCCUACGGGAGGCAGCAGCU
rnacentral:rRNA from 1 species